CGGACGGGUGAGUAAUGUCUGGGAAACUGCCUGAUGGAGGGGGGUAACUACUGGAAACGGUAGCUAAUACCGCAUAACGUCGCAAGACCAAAGAGGGGGACCUUCGGGCCUCUUGCCAUCGGAUGUGCCCAGAUGGGAUUAGCUAGUAGGUGGGGUAAAGGCUCACCUAGGCGACGAUCCCUAGCUGGUCUGAGAGGAUGACUAGCCACACUGGAACUGAGACACGGUCCAG
rnacentral:rRNA from 1 species